rnacentral:SRP_RNA from 2 species
UAUAAGGUAUACAGACAAAAAUUCUGUAACUUGGUCAGAUCAGAAAUGAAGCAGCCAUAUCAGAGCCUUUUUGGGUUGUAUGCCUACUUUCAUUAU